UUCGCCUCCCGAACCGCGACUAAAGGUACCAUUAGUCGCGGUUCCUACAGCUUCGCGACUUAUGGGGCUCACCCGAAGCCUGUUUUUCUACCAGUGUAUAUUAGCUUAUUUCUGCUCUGUUCUGCUAUUGAAUUAUAUGAUUUUUAUAAUUUAGCUUUCAUACAUUUGUUACUCAAACAAACUUAUUUACAUAGGUAAUGACACUGUUAAAUUGACACUCAAACCAAGUUUAAUAUAAAUUUACGUGUGCAAGAUUGAUUAUAUAUCAUAGAUUUUUUUUUGAAUGAACUAACAGCCUAUAUAAAUUGAUCACAUAAAUUAAAUUUACGUAUGAAAAGUCAUAGUUCAUAAGCAGUUAACCAUGCAGUUGUCCAUUAUUCUGCACUAAGGUGGCAUAAGAACUUUCAUAAAUUAUUAAGUCACACUUUUGCAGUAGCACCUUCAACCUACAAAAUAAAACUUAGAAGCUGCAUAUGAGCACACAGAUUACGAGUCAAAUAUGCAUCAUAUCUAAGCUCAAUAUUGCAAACACUGAAGAAAGACAGAAGGAUAAUUUACCAUAUACUUCUUCUCUUAUUGGUUGAUUAUUUAUAGUUCAUAAAAAUUACACUGAAAAAGAAAAUUGUUAUUUGGAAAAUUCCCCACCUCCACAGUCCACACACAGUGCCAUUGAUUUCCCUUUCACAUCUCCAUAUUCUUAAUGUACAUUCCAUUGUAUGGUUAUGCGAACUCCAGUGUGAAUCUUGGAGUAAUAUCUGUGUAAGGGGUGUGCUAUAUUGGAAAACACUGCUAAACCUGCCUUGUCCUUUUUUUUACAUAAACCUGCAAAAAAAUUCUUUCAGUUUUUUCAUGAGUUCACCUUGAUGCAGAUGACCGUCUACCUUUUGUCUGAUCUCUAAAUUGGUAAUUAGUUGUUGGCACAUUUACGAGUACAUGUCACGCCUAUGUCACCAUCACACUCAAACAGAUAAUCGAAACAUCUGGCAGAUGAGUCUGGUUUUCCUCCACAGAAAGGCUACACCCACAUAGGCUAGAAAUUUCUGUACUUACAAUUAUCCCAAGGCACAAAGAUGAUACAUUAGCGUUUGGAAAUAGCACAGAACCUCACUAUUGCAUUUGGAAAUAAAAUCUUGGAUUGAUUUUCUAUGAAGGGAUAUAAUUGAGUAUCCUCAUGUGCAUAUAUUUAUCUACCACUUCGCGUUGCUGCCUUCCACGCAACCUUGUGUUUUUCUAUUUCAGAGAUUUGCUGAGUAAGAAGAAAAGAUAAUGUUGUUCUGCAGAUCCUAAUUUUUCGUUCAUCACAUAUUGCCUUUUCUUUUAGCAUGAACAUUGCUUAAUUGCACUCUCAGCAUUGUCGAACAGGCCCUUCUAUUGUUCAAUUAAAUGUGAUCAAAAGAUUUAUCUACUAUUUUAGGGACAACUCCUUUGGGAAGUUUACAAGGAUGCCUUAUGUUCAAGUUAGAGCGAUUUUUCUAUUUGGAUGUUCUUUAUGAAAAUUCAAAAAUAGUUUCCUGCACACCACUUUAUUUUUCUAUAUUCUCUCCUAAUUUUUUCAUGUACAUCAGUAUGAGUUUAAAUGCUAUCUCCUAAAUAUUUCAGUCUGCUGGGUUCCUACAUGUGUCCAGAUCUAUGUAACUAUUGACUACACACGAGUGGUGAACUUAAGUAUUGAGCGAGGGAAGAAAAUAUCACCAAGAUUACUUCAGUUAAAGGAAGAGGCCUACCGCUAUGACUUCGAUGGGAAUCCUACAGAUUACGAGGUUUGAUCAUCGUUACCUGAACUAUCACUACUUGUGUGUCAGUACCUCUGGUCUCUGUUUCGAGUAUUGAUCUCUGAUCAUGGAGUCAUUGUGUUUGAACAGCUUUGCUUUAAACCUGAAUGGUACCCACUCCAUGUGUUUAGCUAUUGUAAUCUCUGAACAAUGUGUUCAUGUCCGUAUUGUAAUAUAUUUUCCUAUUUUCUCACUUGUGUUUGGCACAUUUCUCUACUUCAUUAUCUGUAAUUACCUCUCUGAUGGUGAAUGGAAUGUUAACCACUCAUGUUUCCUCUA